rnacentral:lncRNA from 1 species
CAUCAGAAAGGGGGAUUUUCUGGAGGAAACGGGGCGCUCCAAAGGGGCGCGGCAAUGGAUACAUCUUCCGCGAAAAAGGACUGAACCGUGUAUUUCUCCGAUGGAGCGUCUUCUCUUCCACGGGCAUGCACAGGCCAACCACGAGUAGUACUAACGGCGCUUUGGGAUCUGGGUGGAACGUGCGGGUCAUCCGCGAAGCGCCAGCGUCCAGUGCCCAAAUCUUGUCCAAACGUUCCAUUCUGUUUACGUCUUUUCAUGCAGUUGACGAAACAGCCCGUUAUGCGUAGUCGCUUUCUGUCGCGAGCGGUCGUCUGGCGGCGACGAGAGCCCUCACCGCUCACUCGUCGCACGGCGUAAAGCCGGGGAACGUUUGCGUCUUCUUUUUACGGAAAAGAGAGCGUCUCUCCCCGUUGGCGUCCCAAGGACAAAGAUCCGAGACAAGAAAGCCUUUUCACCGUGCUUGGGAGUUUUCCUCUCGCGCCUCGUUCGUCACGGCAGCGCGUCCAAGCACGGUAUGGACGUUGCUACUGACCCCCACUUCGAUCCUCCAUUUAGAUUCCCCGAGGCAUUCGUAACGCAUGUUUGUCACCUUGUCGCGACUGCUCCGGAACGGGGCUAGCAGGUGCGCCCCGGCCAGCGCGAGAAGAGAGGAGAAAGCCACCCCCUGCGGCGAGCCUGGUGCGCCGCGAGACGAAAGGUUCUGAAGAAAGUGAGGAAACCAGAUGGGUGCCGAGGUUGUGUCAAACGUUUUACACCGCUUUUGCCUUGAAAACGAAGUUUUCCGAGGACACACGCGGCGCGACGCGUCGCCGUUGCACACGUGCGAAGUUUGUCAACUCUGUUUGCUCGAGCGACAAAUACGUGCAACGACGUGGAAUCUCGCCUCGGAUCUACGGCCCUCGAGGAGAGUGUGCAAUGGUGUCGGCUAUGCCGGGAGUCGAGAAAAGAAGCGGUCCCCGGAGAUCCCUGCUGCGAACCACACUGGCGGCGGUAGGUUCAGCCGUGACAGGGGAAAUUCCAGAGCAGAGUGUGUAGGCGUAUGGACCGUGCGACCGCUUUCUCGUCUAUUCUGUUGUCUCAUUUCGGCUCCGCUGUUCUCGGCAGUCAGUCGUAUUGAGAACUGGUAGCAGCAGUUGCCGUUUGCCCAGCGAACCCAGGCGCCCCAAAAAAAAGUCUGCUG